rnacentral:rRNA from 1 species
UACGUAGGUGACAAGCGUUGUCCGGAAUUAUUGGGCGUAAAGAGCUCGUAGGCGGUUUGUCGCGUCUGCUGUGAAAACUCGGGGCUUAACCCCGGGCCUGCAGUGGGUACGGGCAGACUAGAGUGCGGUAGGGGAGACUGGAAUUCCUGGUGUAGCGGUGAAAUGCGCAGAUAUCAGGAGGAACACCGGUGGCGAAGGCGGGUCUCUGGGCCGUAACUGACGCUGAGGAGCGAAAGCGUGGGGAGCGAACAGG